GAUGAACGCUGGCGGCGCGCCUAACACAUGCAAGUCGAACGGUUAAAGCAUCUUCGGAUGUGCAUAAAGUGGCGAACGGCUGAGUAACACGUGGGCAACCUGCCCCUCGCAUCGGGACAGCCUCGGGAAACCGUGGUUAAUACCGGAUACUCCGCCACCCCCGCAUGGGGGAGGCGGGAAAGCCCAGACGGCGAGGGAUGGGCCCGCGGCCUGUUAGCUUGUUGGUGGGGCAGUGGCCCACCAAGGCGAUGAUGGGUAGCCGGGUUGAGAGACCGACCGGCCAGAUUGGGACUGAGACACGGCCCAGACUCCUACGGGAGGCAGCAGUGGGGAAUCUUGCACAAUGGGCGAAAGCCUGAUGCAGCGACGCCGCGUGCGGGACGAAGGCCUUCGGGUCGUAAACCGCUUUCAGCAGGGACGAGGCCGCAAGGUGACGGUACCUGCAGAAGAAGCCCCGGCUAACUACGUGCCAGCAGCCGCGGUAAUACGUAGGGGGCGAGCGUUAUCCGGAUUCAUUGGGCGUAAAGCGCGCGUAGGCGGCCUGCUAGGUCGGGAGUCAAAUCCGGGGGCUCAACCCCCGUCCGCUCCCGAUACCGGCUGGCUUGAGUCUGGUAGGGGAAGGUGGAAUUCCCAGUGUAGCGGUGGAAUGCGCAGAUAUUGGGAAGAACACCGGUGGCGAAGGCGGCCUUCUGGGCCACGACUGACGCUGAGGCGCGAAAGCUAGGGGAGCGAACAGG
rnacentral:rRNA from 1 species